GAAUUAGAAGAAACUGAAUGUAAUGAUGAUCACUAUUUCUCAAUUCACUGACAUGGCCCGAAAUUUUCAAAAAAAAAGUAGUGGGAAAUGAUAUUUAAUUCACUAAAAGAAUACUGCUGCUAAUCCAAUGGUUUUUCUACUAGUAAUCAAAGUCCAACAUACACCUAUUUUGUCGUAUGGACCUGGAAAAUCUAAAUCAAAUUGAUACAGUGAGCAGCAGCGAAUCUAAGGAACUUCUUUAUAUGGCGCUAACGGUUAUAAACCUUUACAAACUUUAUGUUGAAUAGAAAACAACAUAUUAAGCAUUGUAUAUUUUAAUGUCAACAUA